GGAGAGGCCACGCAGGGCUCCCAAGGAAGGCUGUAGACGGGCUGUUCAGCAGGAAGACUCAGCCUCAGAAUCAUGUUCUGAAGAAAGCAUUGGCUGACUUGUGGGGUUGGAGAAGAGGAUGGGACAUGGGGAGACCACCCAGGAGUCUGCUGUAACUGUCCUGAGAUGACCCGGGUGAAGCAGCUUUUUCCAGUGAAGGGCGUGAGGCUGAACCCAGAGAAGGCAACAGGGUGAGCCGGAGACCCAGAUGGAAAAGCACCACCCCUACGUUCCAACCAAAGUGGUUAAACUGAUCACACUGAGGAGCCUGCUGCUGAAUGCCAUGGGCAGGUCACUCCAUCUCUCUGAGCCUUUCUCUUUCCCGGAGAAAUGAAGAGGGUCAACUAGAUAUGCUCUGCAUGUGGUGAUCACAUAGCUUGUGGUCCUAAUGGUAACAACUCUGAGGGUGAAGGGAAAUAAUUAAUCAUCACCUCAAGAUAGCAGGCAGAAUCCAAGUUAGUCCUGGCGUUUCCAGAUUCCCUGAAAAUCUGGGCUUAAAACCCAAGUGUCCUCCAGUGCUGUUUCUCAACAGUUCUUUCACAGAUCAGGAGCUGGAGCCAACACACUGGUAACUAGAGUUAUAUGGAUCGGAAGUCCCUGGUGAAUUGAGCUCCUGGCCAGCUGAGAGCACUGCAAACAGUCUCUUGUGCUUCCCGGUGUGUCGUUCAGCUCUGUGGUGGUAGAAGGAAGCCCUGCUUCAGCCUCGAACACAAGGGUGGCCGAGCCUUGAUCUCUCUCUGAUGGUUGAUGGUGCUGUGGCUGCUGUGGAAUCGUGGCUCAGGCCCAACUCCUGUUAGUAAGGACUCCUCACACUGGCUAUUAUCUUUAAUCAAUCUCAGUUGGAAAAGCAAGUGGGAUUUGGAAAUAUGAGAUUCAGAUUAAAGUCUCAGGUCCACAUACCAGUAUGAGACGGUGACCUUGGACAUGGACUUUACCUGCCUGACUUCUCAUUUUCUUGCCAGUGAAUAUAGAUAAUGCCACCUAUUUGAGAGUCUAUAAACAGGAUAUAAUCAAAUCAGUGAUAUGGAAGUAUUCAGUAUAUUGUGACUUUAAAAAAAAAAACUAUUUUGAAAUAAUUUCAGAUUUAAAAGAAAGUUGCAAAAAGAAUUCCCAUGUCCUUACUCAGCAUCCUCAAAUGUUAAUGUUAUUGGACAUAAUCAUAGUUCAAUAAUCAAAUCCAGUAAAUUAACAUUUAACAAUUCAAUUAAACUAAGCUAUGGCCCUAAAAUUUUACCAAAUGUCACAGUGAAUAUUCUUUUUUGGUCCAGGAUCCCCCAGUGUGGGAUCCUGAUUUCUUUGGGUCUGUUGCCAAUUUAGAUUAUUGCAAACCCUGACAGGGCCUCAGUCUUUUUUUGUCACUUAUUACCUUGACUCUUUGGAAGAGUACAGGUUAGUUAUUUUGUAAACCGUCCCCAAAUUGUGUUUGCUUGAUAUUUCAUCAUAAUUCGAUUCAGAUUGCAUUUUUGCAAUAGGAGCACAAAGUGAAGACGUGACCUUCUCAGAGGACUGUAUACGAUGGGGUGCCUGGUGGCUGAGUGUCAUUCUGGGUGGUGUUCUCCUUUGUAUUUCAUAAGUACCUUGUGGAAGAUGUCUUGGGAUACAAUUUCCCAUCAGACUUUUGCCUACUAUUUCAGCAGCAUGGAUAAUACUUGCCUUUGAAAAUCAAAAUGGUGGUAGCUUUCUGGGACACUAUGUGAUAAGUAUUGUGAGGUCAGUUUUCUUACAAGACAGUGUGCCUGGUGUGGAGAGCAAGACAGGUGCCAUAUUGGUAAUUCCAGAAGAGAUCCGCCUCUUUUGACAAGUAGCUCUUGCCCACUAGGUCUCCUUUGGGACAACUUAAUUCCUCUGAGUGGCUGAGCACCAAGGUACCAUGAUCUACAUUGUUAGUAACCAAGUGUCAGGACAUUUACACCAGAAAGGGCCGUUUGUGUCAGGCUCCAGAUUAGCAGGGCUGGGGCCAUACUUCUCUCCUCCCAUCUUCCUGUACCAAUAUUAAUAUCUCCGCCAAGAUCAGCAUUGGAGCCAAUUGCUUGCUGUGGUCCAGGAAGGCUUCCCAGGGGAGGUGGCUGCUGGACCUUGAAGGGUGGGAGAAGUUCACUGGUGGGAGCCAAGGGCAGAUGGAAGGGCAUUAUUGCUUCAGCAGAACGUGCUCUCUUCUUCAUGAGCUGUAUUCAUUUUUCUGGGUCUCCCAUUAGAUCAAUUUCUUAUUGCUGCUAUAACAAAUUACUCCCACUUAGUGGCUAAGGGCAACACAAAUUUAUAUCUUAUAGU
rnacentral:lncRNA from 1 species